rnacentral:rRNA from 1 species
AGUGAACGCUGGCGGUAGGCCUAACACAUGCAAGUCGAACGGCAGCACAGUAAGAGCUUGCUCUUACGGGUGGCGAGUGGCGGACGGGUGAGGAAUACAUCGGAAUCUACUUUUUCGUGGGGGAUAACGUAGGGAAACUUACGCUAAUACCGCAUACGACCUACGGGUGAAAGCAGGGGAUCUUCGGACCUUGCGCGAUUGAAUGAGCCGAUGUCGGAUUAGCUAGUUGGCGGGGUAAAGGCCCACCAAGGCGACGAUCCGUAGCUGGUCUGAGAGGAUGAUCAGCCACACUGGAACUGAGACACGGCCCAGACUCCUACGGGAGGCAGCAGUGGGGAAUAUUGGACAAUGGGCGCAAGCCUAAUCCAGCCAUACCGCGUGGGUGAAGAAGGCCUUCGGGUUGUAAAGCCCUUUUGUUGGGAAAGAAAAGCAGCAGGUUAAUACCCCGCUGUCCUGACGGUACCCAAAGAAUAAGCACCGGCUAACUUCGUG